rnacentral:rRNA from 1 species
AAAUAACGCUGGCGGCAUGCUUAACACAUGCAAGUCGAACGAAUAGUAGCAAUACUAUUAGUGGCAAACGGGUGAGUAACACGUAGGAAUCUCCCCUAUAGUAUGGGAUAACAGUUGGAAACGACUGCUAAUACCGUAUACGCUCUUCGGAGGAAAGAUUUAUCGCUAUAGGAUGAGCCUGCGCUAAAUUAGGUAGUUGGUAGGGUAAUGGCCUACCAAGCCGAUGAUUUAUAGCUGGUCUGAGAGGACGAUCAGCCACACUGGAACUGAGAAACGGUCCAGACUCCUACGGGAGGCAGCAGUGAGGAAUAUUGGACAAUGGGCGCAAGCCUGAUCCAGCAAUGCCGCGUGAAUGAUGAAGGCCUUAGGGUUGUAAAGUUCUUUC